rnacentral:rRNA from 1 species
UGGCGAACGGGUGAGUAACGCGUGAGGAACCUGCCUCAAAGAGGGGGACAACAGUUGGAAACGACUGCUAAUACCGCAUAAGCCCACGGCUCGGCAUCGAGCAGAGGGAAAAGGAACAAUCCGCUUUGAGAUGGACCCGCGUCUGAUUAGGUAGUUGGUGGGGUAACGGCCUACCAAGCCGACGAUCAGUAGCCGACCUGAGAGGGUGACCGGCCACAUUGGGACUGAGACACGGCCCAA